UACGGGGGGAGCAAGCGUUGUUCGGAUUUACUGGGCGUAAAGGGCGCGUAGGCGGCCACUGCAAGUCAGUUGUGAAAUCUCCGGGCUUAACCCGGAAAGGUCAACUGAUACUGCAGGGCUAGAGUGCAGAAGGGGCAACUGGAAUUCUCGGUGUAGCGGUGAAAUGCGUAGAGAUGUGGAGGAACACCGAUGGCGAAGGCAGCCUCCUGGGCCAGCACUGACGCUCAUGCACGAAAGCGUGGGGAGCAAACAGG
rnacentral:rRNA from 1 species